rnacentral:snoRNA from 1 species
GUUGAGGUCUAUCCCGAUGGGACCUUUCCUGUAGGUUCGUGUCGUUGGAAAUGCCUCAGAGAGCAAACUUGUAGUCUCGCUUUACCCACUGAACUACUUGUUAGCUCUGUGGGCUAGCACUGCAGAACAGUU